GUAGUCUGCAACUCGACUACAUGAAGCUGGAAUCGCUAGUAAUCGCAGAUCAGAAUGCUGCGGUGAAUACGUUCCCGGGUCUUGUACACACCGCCCGUCACACCAUGGGAGUCGGAAAUGCCCGAAGCCGGUGACCCAACCUGAAGGGGAGGGAGCAGCCGAAGGCAGGUCGGAUGACUGGGGUGAAGUCGUAACAAGGUAGC
rnacentral:rRNA from 1 species